rnacentral:lncRNA from 1 species
AGGGAGGGGCAGCGCCCUCGGGGCUCGGACCCGCCGGGGCUGCGGAUCCCGGCGCGGCUGAGCUGAGGGCUGGGCGCUGCCGCUUCUCGGCAGGACCUCUGGUGUGCGGAGCCUGUGCCCGCGGAACCCAAGCAGCCUGGGAGGCUAGACUGAGCGCGGUGGAAAGAAGGUUAGACUUGGUUACCCGGAUUCUGUUUUUAAUUCCCAGCAGUUGUCAAGGGGCUUUGCCGGCGGCAGCCAGUCACCAGCUGCCUUUUGCGCCGCUCCUCUUUCUGAGGGUCGCAGGCCCACCUUCUGUGAGUGCUUCCUGCUGAGCCCGGGUGGAGGGCAGGGCUCCAGCUGCCCCUACCUGGGUGUGACGGCCCCGGGCCUCAGCCCUCACUGCUCUCUCCGAGCGACCACAGUGGGAGCUGGGUAGCUGCUCACCGCCUUCGAGGGCCCAGGAGAAGGCAAAACCCAGACCCUAGGGUGGGCCUCUCCCACCCUGGCUCUGCCAUUGUUUGGCCACCUGAGGCUGACUGUUUCUCCCAGCCAGCAGCUUUUCUCCAGGCCACGGCGUUCGCAUCCGAACAGGAGAGCCGUCCCUGGUCAGCUCAGGGACAGUCCAGGGCCCGUGGCUGUCUAGGACCCAGCCAGCGCAGUAGCCUGGAGUCCAGGUCUGUCUCAUUGGCCACAGUCACGGAGGUGGCUGAGAGCUUUUUCGUUCCUCGCGUCCCCCUCCAAGCCCCCGCGUGCACUGACCCUGAAACUCACCGUCUGCUCCUUCGCGACACGUUUCUAUUUUCCACCAACCUUCUUUAUUGGAAACAUUCCGGUAAAGGUUUUUUAGGCUCCGGAGACUCUGAUGUGUUUGCAGUCCGUUCGUUUAUCAGGUAUACACACCCUCGGAGCACCCCUCACGCGCUGCUUGAUAUGCAAAGAAGAGGAGCUCCAGGUCCCAGGUCAGAGAGGGGCGUCACACAGUAAGUAGUCCAGGGGGCUGUUGCCCCAGUUUGGAGCUGGGACCCCUCCUGACUCAGGUAAGAUGUGUCCCUGGAGAUCUCUGAGCCUCGGGUAAGGUGGGCGCUUCGGGUCACCAAGUGGGCUCUGCCCCACUUAGGAGGGGGUGGGCUGUUGGUUUCCAAGUUUUUAGACUCAGUCUCCUGGUCGGAAGGUCCCCCAAGUAUUGGCUGCCCCUGUACCCUGAUGCCAAAUAGAAACACGGAGAUGGAGGUGGAAGACACAGAAAAAGGAGCUUGAAUUUCCAGGCAAAGAGGGGACUUCAAGGACUGGGACCCCCCACCUGCAGGAGGUGGUGCAGUCUUGGCGUGUUCAAGGAUGGGCGACUUCUUAAUGAUGCCAUCCGGCCCAGCGUGAGGUGGUACCUCAUUGUAGUUUUGAUUUGCAUGUCCCUAAUAAUUAGUGAUGUUGAGCAUUUUGGCAUGUGCCUGUUGGCCAUCUGUAUGUUUUCUUUGGAGAACAGGCUAUUCAUUUAUUUGUAGGUAUUUAAUUUUGAGGGAUGUGAUUUGUGUUAUUUUAUUUUUUUGCUUUUUAGGGCUGCAUUGUGGCAUAGGGAGGUUCCCAGGCUAGGGGUUGAAUCAGGAGCUGUAGCCACAGCCACAGCAAUGCUAGAUCUGGCCUGUGUCUGCAACCUACACCACAGCUCACGGCAACGCCGGAUCGUUAACCCACUGAGCAAGGGCAGGGAUCGAACCCGCAACCUCAUGGUUCCUAGUCGGAUUCGUUAACCACUGCGCCACGAUGGGAACUCCCAGGUGUUGUAUUUUUAUAUUCCUUUUCUAAUAUUUCAUUGUCAGUAUACAGAAAGGCAGCUUAUUUCUGCAUGUUAACCUUGUGUCCUGCUACUUUGCUGAAUUCCUUGAUCAGUUCGAGUCGUUUUCGUGUGGAGUCCUUAGGGUUUUCUAUGUAUAGUGUCAUGUCAUCUGCACGGAGAGACACUUUCACCUCUUCUCUUCCAAUGUGGAUACCUUUUAUUUCUUUUGUUUGUCUGACUGCUGUGGUUAUGACUUUCAAUAUUAUGUUAAAUAAAAGUGGUGUGAGUGGGCA